rnacentral:lncRNA from 1 species
CUUUUUUAAUUUACUUCUAAUAUAUAUAAAAAAAUGAUUAAUUACAGUACCGCUCAUUGUAAACAUAUCGAAUAACAAAUAUAUCUAUAUCAAAUUUAACUUUUCAUUUUUAUCCCUAUAAAAAUUCGGUGAUAUUCAUAUUUGCCUAUCUGGUUUGUUACAGUUAGGUUAUUGUUUAUUUUUAGCAGCACAUAAGUGAAAUGUUAUUUUUCUUCUUACAAAUAUACUCCUCCUAAAGCCCGAACUGUUAGAAUUAUACAGAAAUGCCCUUCCAAAAAAGUAUUUUACUCAAUAAUAUAAGAUGGGUAAAAAGGUCAAUUUAACUCAUUCAUUAAUCAGGAUUAAGUAUUUUACUUAUAGUUAACUAUAUUUUUCUAACGGAUCCUAUCAGUAGAGUAUAUUUGAAAAUAUGAAGACAUUUGCAGGGAUAAAAAUAAAAAGUUAAAUUUUGUAAGGAUAUAUCUGCUAUUUGAUAUGUUUACAUAGAGCUGUACGCAAUUAACCCAAAAAAAUUAUUAAA